rnacentral:lncRNA from 1 species
ACUAUCCUGGUCAAGGUUUUCCUAAAUUGAAACACGACUGUACAUAGCUCCUAAACUAGAGUGGUCAAUCCCAUCUUGACACACGCACCGACAAGUCAAGUACUUGACUACACCCAGCAGCCUUCCGUCACUGAAUUAGAAAUUCAGGUAGUCCAGUGCCUAAGUGCAGUGAGUUGCUUGCAAGUCACCGUGGUGGUCUCA